CUCUCUCUCUCAGCUCUUCCUCUCUGUCUCUCCCUCUCUCCUACAACCCAUAACGUAGAGAGAUGAGCCCAUUGAUUCCAUUGAUUGCCUCUGCGCAUCUACCAGUCUUCAUGGCCAUGCGACUCUCUGAUUGAUCACCAAACCCCUCACAUUCGCCAGGGCUCCAAAUUCCCAAAAUUUCUCAUAGUUUCUAAACGAAAAGGGGGCCAAUUGGGAUUUGUGAUGAACGUGAGGAUUGGGGAUAGGUGGUGCACGAGCUGAUUAUGAGAAUUGGGGGUGAAGAUGACAAAGGGGACUAUGUGAAGUUGGGGGGUGAUCAUGGCGAUUUCGGAACGGUGGAGGGGUUUGAGGGGCUGUUGGAGCCCUCUUUCUCGAAAAAGUUAGUGUCUUUGUGGUGUUGGAUUCGGUUGGUAUUGUUGGUCAUGUGCUUGGUUUUGUUGGUUGGGGUUUUUGUGAAAUGGCUGUGUAAGGUUUAUAUUGGAGUGCAUGAAUUUUUGGUUCUAUAUACAAUUAAGCUACCUCUAGUGAUUCUGCUAUUGGAAUGAUUUUUGAUUAAUUGUUUGCAUUGCUUUUAUAAAAUUUUAAUCAUGUGGUCUUCAUUGGUGGAAAGCUUGUGGGUGCUAUGGACAGAGUCAUGGCCUCUCACAUCAAUGGCACUCUGGUUCCUCUUCUCAAAGAGGUUGGGGCUCUCUGGCUUUGAAAAUGGAUUCUCUUCUUUCUUCAAAUACUAGUUUUUUUUUUUGGUUCAUUUUUAAGAAAGAGAGAAGAAGAGGAAGAAAACUACUAGGAC
rnacentral:lncRNA from 1 species